UUUUACAUGCUCUUCCAUUAAGGAUGUAGGGUCUGUGUCCCUCUUGAAUCCAGGUGGGCUUUUGAUUGUUGGAGCAAUAGAAUACUGUGGAUGUGAUGCUGUGUGACUUUCCAGGCUAGGUCAUAAACAACCAAGCAGCUCUUGGGAUGCUCAUUCUAGGAGAAAGCAGCCAUCACGUAAGAAGACCAACUACCUUGAGACUGCUGUGUUAGAGAGUCUCUGGCUGACAGUCCUAAUGAGCCUGCUUCCAGCCAUCCCCACCACGGUGCCAGACAUCGUCUCUGCCUUUGCCAUGACAAUGUGCUGGGCUAGGUUGCUACAGGGUAAGGCACAAGGAGCCCGCCUGAACUGCCCCAGCCGUGCUGGCCAAGUCCUCCUAGAUCAGCUGAGUCUGCAAACUGCCAGGCAUAUGGAGUCCAGUCAAGACCAGACUGUCCAGCCACACCCAGUCUUAAUCACCAAUCCAGAGCUGUAAGCAAAAUAAAUGCUUAUUUUAAGCCACUGAA